UUUUGCAGAUCCUGUACUUCUGACCAUGGCAUUCAAUUCACGCAAUCCAGGUCCAGGGGGAGAUCAAAGAGGCCCGCCAGGAAUGCUCAGAAGACUCACUCCGAAGGCCCUCCCACUAACUGACCUCCUUUCCGCCCAUCUGGCCCUCCUCUUCCUCCUUCACCACAAUAUAUGAACGCCAUGCACUUACUGCGGGCCGUCUGCGUUUUGACUUCGUCUCCAGUGACUACUCUCUGUACUUU